AGGACAGAGUACAUGCUGUUGCCCACAAGCUGACGAUUCAGUAAAUUCCAUUAUCCUUUGUUAUGACUGCAGAUGUGGAAUAAACCUGCUGUUGCCACAAGCCUGACCAGCUCCUGAGAGUCAUUUUAGAAAGAGAAGACAUCCCACAAGGGUCACAUUGGUGCCGUGACUCGUCCAUGGCCACGUCGGACCGGGUGGAUGUCUUCACUGCAUCGAUUUGGAGCUGCAUAUCUUUUGCUUUCAUGUAUUUGACUGUCAGGACUAUUUGUUCAAUUGCUGCUAUAUUUUAUUGAAACUGUCAUUUCAUUUAAGGGGAAAUUUUGUUAGCAAAUAUGAGUGUCAGCAAAUUUGGGACCUCUGAUAUUAUGCCUAUUGAUAUUGGUAAGGGUAGAGGAUUACAUAGCACACCUGUUCCGUUUUCCCUAGGUGACCAUUAUAACACAGCUUUUGGUGAUGACUUUGUGCAUAGUCCUUUAAGAUAUAAGGAUGUAGUGGUGCCUCAGAGCCAGCCUUUAGUUGAGUCACAUACACCUCAGUCUACUAGCACAUCAGUCCCAAACCCACCUCCUAAUGAUAUGAAGCUAGUAGACCACAUGAGCUCUAUUGUGCAGCAGAUAGGUCAGCAGCUAGCUGAUAGCAUCAUGUCACACCUUAAUGCAUCAAACCCCACAGCUGCUGUGCGUACCCGUCAAGAAGACACAUGUAAUAAAAAGGAGUCAUCCCCCAGCCACACAGUGGACCUCUCACAAGUUCAGCUGGUCACUCAGAAGGCAGUUACAGACCCACCUGUGUUCUGAGGAGAGAGAUCGGAGACACUGUCUGUUGAGGAAUGGGAGGAACUGAUGAAGAAUUACAUCAGAAAAAGUGGUGUUCAACUGGAAAAUCAAGCUGAAGAAAUUCUCAUGCAUCUGAGAGGCAGAGCAAAAGAUAUGGUGAGAUUUGGAAUAAGAAAUGGUGAGAUUGAUGUACGGACUCUUGCGCAAACAUUUCAGUUCUAGCCAUUGUUCCUCUGUGCCCCUUGCUGACUUUUAUUCCACCCUGCCGAAAGAACAAGAGGAUCCAUAUGAGUAUUGGCUCAGAUUGAAUAGAGCUGCUGAUGUUGCUGCUGAUUGUCUUCAAGAGCAGGGUAUGAUGUUUGACAACCCCACUGUUGAAGUCACACACACGUUCAUCAGGCACUGCCCCUGUAGAGAUUUAGCUCUUACCUUUAGGUCCAAGACGAUUGAGAAAUGGUCAGCUCAUGAGGUUCAGGAAGUGUUAGACGAAUACCAUCUAGAGAAGGGACUCAAGUCUGCUCCAGAGAGGAACAGAAUCAGUGUAAAUAAAAUUGAGAUUGGCCCAAAUACUACUCUAGUUUCAGACACCCCAGAACAGACAAAAAAUGUGAGCCAAGACACGUCUACUCUAGAGAGGUUAAUUGGGUUGCUGGAGAAGACCUUGCUUCGGGGGUCAGGAAAUGCUCAGGCCAACAGCAGACAACGUCACAACAGACUCACAAAAAUCGAGGGGUUAAAUGACAUACCAUGUUCCAUAUGUAAAGACAGCUCUCACUCUGCCCUCACACACUGCCAGGAGAACAGGCUGUGUUUCAUGUGCCACUUACCUGGCCAUUCAAGACGCAACUGCCCAGAGGGGAGGCGCCCUGCUUUUUCCGGACAGCAGGGAAACUGACUGGUCUGUGUGCAGGGGAGGACAGCGUGGAUCAAGUGAGUGAAACUCCCACCCUGGAUUUGACAGACAUUAAUGAUCAUGAGACAUUGUAUCACACCUGUAGCAGUAUGGUGCCACCACAGAAAACACUGAUCAUGCAAAGCCUACAAAAACUCUCAAAGACUGAUAGCUUAUUCUACACAGAUGUGACUGUUGACGAUGGACAGGUUUUCAAUGCACUAGUGGACAGUGGAUCAAUAGCAUGCACGAUAAGUGAGGCAGUUGAUGCAAAACUCUUACAGUCAACUCCUAACAUAAAGAAAAAAAUCUGCUGAGGACUUUGUCAUUGUUGGUUGUGGUGGUCACCUUGUCACACCUUCUGCCAUGUAUGAUCUCAUUACCACAGUUUAUGGCUAUAAGGUGGUCAUUCCUGUCCUAGUUGUGCCAGGCCAAACUGAUGAAAUGAUCCUUGGUAGCGAUGCUAUCAAGUGGCUAAUUUCACAAAUGAAAAUGACUGUUAGCGACCAGAACGCCUCAUCUCCAGUGAAUGGUACACAGAAAGAUGAGCUGCCCCAUCUCAUCUCUCUGCUGUCUCAUUCAGAGGACAGCACAAUGCCAGUCAGAAUUGGAACUGCUAAACUCAAAAAAAGCGUCACUCUGCAGCCAAUGUCUGAACAUUUGGUGUGGGCAAAACUGCCUACAUUGGAUGUUUCUGCAGUGGGGAGUACAGUUAUCAUUGAACCCACCCAAUGCAGGACCAGACCUGCACAAGUUCUGGUGGGGAGAGUCGUUACUUCCUUGUGGGGAGAUGGCUGGCUGUUCCUGUCAAAAUGGAUUUACCUGAACCAGCCCGUGUCCAAUCCGAUGCCCAAUAUACGCAGCGCUCAUCACCUGGACCGAGAUUGGAGGAGGAGAUGGCACACGUCUUGGGUGACAUGGGCUUGCAAGAUUUGGACCUCUCCUCCUGUGAGGUCUCCUCGAGUGGAAGGAUAAACUGUUGCAGAUCAUUGAGCAGUAUGAGUCCAUCUUUUCAAGACAUAAAAUGGACUGUGGAGAGGCAACAGAUUUUGUCCACAGAAUUCGUCUGGUGGAUGACAAGCCCUUCAGACUUCCAUACAGACGGGUUCCACCAUGCCAUUAUGACAAGCUUCGGACUGCUCUGAAUGAGAUGGAGGAAUUAGGUGUAAUUGGAAAAUCUCAGACCACUGGAACACAUCUCUAAAAGUUCUGCUGGGCCAGCUCAGCUUCCCCUCAGAAGAAGUGCCGCCACCUGCCAGAUGAAGGAGCCUUUUGAGAGGCAGCUGGCAUCGUGAUUGGACUGUACUUUGGUCUGUUCCAAUCCAGCUUCAGCUCCAGAGACGGCAGGCGGGACGAGUCAACGGAGGCCGGGUGGACGAAGGCAUGCAGCUGAGUCGAAAAAAAAAUGCGAUUUUUCAACAUGUUGUAUAAACAUGCCAUAUGAUGAAAUAAUGUAAAGGAGGCCGUGAAAAAAAAACUUCAGAAAGGUUUUCUUUGAAAAAAAAAUCAUAAAUUUUUGCACAAAAAAACGCCAUAGUAUACUAUGUCAAAAAACCCCGCGAUUUUUCAACAUGUUGUAAAAACAUGCCAUAUGAUGAAAUAAUGUAAAGGAGGCUGUGAAAAACACUCCAGAAAGGUUUUCUUCGAAAAAAAAAAAUCAUCAUGGAUUUUGGCGCAAAAAACCGCCAUAGUAUACUAUGUCAAAAAAAAAUGUGAUUUUUCAACAUGUAAAAAUGUGCCAUAUGAUGAAAUAAUGUAAAGGAGGCCGUGAAAAACACUAUGGUAAGGUUCUCUUUGAAAAAAAAAUCAUCAAGAAUUUUGGCACAAAAAAAACGCCAUAGUAUACUAUGUCGAAAAAAAAAAGCGAUUUUUCAACAUGUUUUAAAAACAUGCCAUAUGAUGCAAUAAUGUAAAGGAGGCAGUGAAAAACACUCCAGAAAGGUUUUCUUUGAGAAAAAAAUCAUCAAGAAUUUUGGCGCAAAAAAACGCCAUAGUAUACUAUGUCGAAAAAAAAAUGCGAUUUUUCAACAUGUUGUGAAAACCUGUCAUAUAAUGAAAUAAUGUAAAGGAGGGCAUGAAAAACACUCCAGAAAGGUUUUCUUUAAAAAAAAAAAAAUCAUCAUGAAUUUUGGCGCAAAAAAACGCCAUAGUAUACUAUGUCGGAAAAAAAAUGCAAUUUUUCAACAUGUUGUGAAAACAUGCCAUAUGAUUAAAUAAUGUAAAGGAGGCCAUGAAAAACACUCCAGAAAGGCUUUCUUUGAAAAAAAAAAAUCAUGAAUUUUGGCGCAAAAAAAAACGCCAUAGUAUACUGUCGAAAAAUGUGAUUUUUCAACAUGUUGUAAAGAUGUGCCAUCUUAUGAAAUAAUGGAAAGGAGGCCAUGAAAAACACUCCAGAAAAGUUUUCUUUGAAAAAAAAAAUCAUCAUGAAUUUUGGCGCAAAAAAAGGCCAUAGUAUACUAUGUCAAAAAAAAAUGUGAUUUUUCAACAUGUUGUAAAAACGUGUCAUAUGAUGAAAUAAUGUAAAGGAGGCCGUGAAAAACACUCCAGAAAGGUUUUCUUUGAGACAAAAAUCAUUAUGAAUUUUGGCGCAAAAAAACGCCUUACUAUACUAUGUCGGAAAAAAAAAUGCGAUUUUUCAACAUGUUGUGAAAACAUGCCAUAUGAUGAAAUAAUGUAAAGGAGGCCGUGAAAAACACUCCAGAAAGGUUGUCUUUGAAAAAAAAAUCAUCAUGAAUUUUGGCACAAAAAAAAACCGCCAUAGUAUACUAUGUUGAAAAAUGUAAUUUUUCAACAUGUUGUAAAAACAUGCCAUAUGAUGAAAUAAUGUAAAGGAGGCCGUGAAAAACACUCCAGAAAGGUUUUCUAUGAAAAAAAAAUCAUCAUGAAUUUUGGUGCAAAAAAACGCCAUAGCAUACUAUGUCAAAAAAAUGCGAUUUUUCAACACUAAAUCUUAUUGAAAAAUAUGUUUUACUUAAGUCCACCUGUUUCAGCCAUCUCUACCCCUCAUUAGGUACCACUCUAAGGUACAUUAUACAAAAAAAGUCCAGUAGAUGUCACUGUGUUUUGAAAUGGCAUACAGAGCAAGUUAGUCUGCUCACAGGAAGUUAGCACGAGCAAAAUCACUCCUCACAUGAGGCCUCUGUUUGCUGUGAUUUUCAAAGGUAAAGUAAUACUUUUGACAUAUUAUGGUGCCUAAGGAGUUGCUGAACACAAAUGUGUCAUUUGAAAUGUAAAAAAAAAAAAAAAAGAUUUAAAAGGGUAAAAUAAUUUUUCUCAACCGUUUGGUAGAGGUCAGUAUUUUAAAAAUUGCUGGGUCUCUUCAUAAAAAAAACAUUGAUUGUUGUUAUUAGUGCCCCAAAGAGUUAAGAAAUGUAAAGAAAUUAUUUUUUCAUUGCCUUUUUCUUGGUGAGGAUGUUAAAGGGUUAAC